rnacentral:rRNA from 1 species
UACGGAGGGGACUAGCGUUGUUCGGAAUUACUGGGCGUAAAGCGCACGUAGGCGGAUUUGUAAGUCAGGGGUGAAAUCCCGGGGCUCAACCUCGGAACUGCCUUUGAUACUGCAAAUCUCGAGUCCGAUAGAGGUGGGUGGAAUUCCUAGUGUAGAGGUGAAAUUCGUAGAUAUUCGGAAGAACACCAGUGGCGAAGGCGGCUCACUGGACUGGUAUUGACGCUGAGGUGCGAAAGCGUGGGGAGCAAACGGGG